UACGGAGGGGGCUAGCGUUGUUCGGAAUUACUGGGCGUAAAGCGCGCGUAGGCGGCUUUGUAAGUUAGAGGUGAAAGCCCAGGGCUCAACCCUGGAAUUGCCUUUAAGACUGCAUCGCUUGAACAUCGGAGAGGUAAGUGGAAUUCCGAGUGUAGAGGUGAAAUUCGUAGAUAUCAGGAGGAACACCUGCGGUGUAGACGGCUUACUGGACCAUAACUGACGCUGAGGCGCGAAAGCUAGGGGAGCAAACAGG
rnacentral:rRNA from 1 species